rnacentral:rRNA from 1 species
CCUGAGAAACCCAAAAGAUCGAAUGGGGAGAUUCAGCGUCAGCGGUGCUGGUACGUGUUUGGUUCGCGAUGUUGGUGACUUCGGUCUCUCGGCACGUGUCCUUUCACGGCAUCGGCGCUCGUCGGCGUGCACUUCUCCCCUAGUAGGACGUCGCGACCCGUUGGGUGUCGGUCUACGGCCCGAGUGGUAGCCUGUCUCGUGUGCGCUUUACGGCGUCACUGCGUGACAGACCCUCGGAUGCCUGACCGGCUGCCCGGCGGUACUCGCAAGGUAUCUGGCCGCAAAUAUUUGAACUGCGUCCAGCCCGUCGCAAGCGAGGCAAGUGUUUCCCGAAUGUACGGAUCUAAUGCCGUCAUCGGGCCUGGCCAGCUGUUGGUUGACGGUGUCCUAGGACAGGCUAUAAAAAUUAUGAUACCGGUCAGCGACGCUACUGCUUUGGGUACUUUCAGGACCCGUCUUGAAACACGGACCAAGGAGUCUAACAUGUGCGCGAGUCAUUGGGAACUAAUAAGCCUAAAGGCGCAAUGAAAGUGAAGGUCGGCCUUGCGCCGACCGAGGGAGGAUGGGCCGCGUCACGAUGCGGUCCCGCACUCCCGGGGCGUCUCAUUCUCAUUGCGAGAA